rnacentral:rRNA from 1 species
UACAGAGGGUGCAAGCGUUAAUCGGAAUUACUGGGCGUAAAGCGUGCGUAGACGGUUAUUUAAGUCAGGUGUGAAAGCCCCGGGCUCAACCUGGGAAUUGCAUUUGAGACUGAAUAGCUAGGGUGCGGAAGAGGGAAGCGGAAUUUCCGGUGUAGCGGUGGAAUGCGUAGAGAUCCGGAAGAACACCGGUGGCGAAGGCGGCCCGCUGGGCAGUGGCUGACGCUGAGGCGCGACAGCGUGGGGGAGCAAACAGG